rnacentral:rRNA from 1 species
GCUAACUACGUGCCAGCAGCCGCGGUAAUACGGAGGGUGCGAGCGUUAAUCGGAAUUACUGGGCGUAAAGCGUGCGCAGGCGGUUUGGUAAGUCAGAUGUGAAAUCCCCGAGCUCAACUUGGGAACUGCGUUUGAAACUACCAGACUAGAAUAUGUCAGAGGGGGGUAGAAUUCCACGUGUAGCAGUGAAAUGCGUAGAGAUGUGGAGGAAUACCAAUGGCGAAGGCAGCCCCCUGGGAUAAUAUUGACGCUCAUGCACGAAAGCGUGGGGAGCAAACAGGAUUAGAUACCCUGGUAGUC